GACGAACGCUGGCGGCGUGCUUAACACAUGCAAGUCGAACGGAAAGACCCUGCUUUUGUGGGGUGCUCGAGUGGCGAACGGGUGAGUAACACGUGAGUAACCUGCCCUUGACUUUGGGAUAACUUCAGGAAACUGGGGCUAAUACCGGAUAGGAGCUCCUGCUGCAUGGUGGGGGUUGGAAAGUUUCGGCGGUUGGGGAUGGACUCGCGGCUUAUCAGCUUGUUGGUGGGGUAGUGGCUUACCAAGGCUUUGACGGGUAGCCGGCCUGAGAGGGUGACCGGCCACAUUGGGACUGAGAUACGGCCCAGACUCCUACGGGAGGCAGCAGUGGGGAAUAUUGCACAAUGGGCGGAAGCCUGAUACAGCAACGCCGCGUGCGGGAUGACGGCCUUCGGGUUGUAAACCGCUUUCGCCUGUGACGAAGCGUGAGUGACGGUAAUGGGUAAAGAAGCACCGGCUAACUACGUG
rnacentral:rRNA from 1 species